AGAAAAGCCCAAGCCCGGUCAAAAUUCACUGUUUCACAUGUAAUACUCAUCGGUGCCCCCCCUUCCGAUACGGUUCGGAAAUCAAAAGUGAAUUUCAAAAUUGCCUCAAUUACCCUUUCAAUUUUUCAUUCAAAUCUUCCAAAAGAAAUUCAAGCGCCCAUUCUUCGUCUGCCUCGGCUGAAAAUCGCGUAACCUAGCGAAUAGCGAAGAAGGGUCACCCGGCGACCGUUGCAGCGAAGCUGGUUUCCUUCGCUCUUGGACAAAGGAUAAUUGUUGCCAAUAAAGCAGGCUCCAGAGAUUCGGAUACUCAUUGCUAUGUUUUAUAUAAUGUCGGGGGAGGGCGCAUUCGCGAAACUGAAAUUCUCUAUAUGUUAUUGCAAGAAGUGUUGCAGCAACAAUUGAUUCAAAUAGCUAUCGUUGUUGUGUAUGUAAAUAAAUUAAUGUAAAAAAAAAGGAAGACUGUAGGUACAGCUGCUAGAUAUGAAAUGAUAACUCGAAUCCCGGAUCAGGUGAAGCACUUAGGGAGGCUAAUUAGUGCUAACGAUAUAGAUUGUAUCGUAAACCUCCGUAUGGACCGUAAUGCUUUCGGUCGGCUGUGUCAAAUACUCAGGGAUAUGGGGGGAUUAGUCAAUGGUCGCCACGUUAGUGUGGAAGAACAAGUUGUUAUGUUCGUCUCGGUCCUAGCCCAUCACAAAAAGAACAGAAUAGUAGGAUUUGAUUUUUGGCGGUCUGGACAAACAAUAUUACAUUAUGUCCAUGUGGUAUUAGGUGCCAUUUUGCGAUUACAUGAGACAUUUUUAGCCAAACCAGAUGUUGUCACGGAUGAUUGCACAGACUCUAGGUGGCAAUGGUUCAAGGGAUGUUUAGGCGCUUUAGAUGGCACAUACGUCAAUGUCUUGGUUAGCAAUACAGACAAACCGAGAUAUAGGACUCGGAAAGGUGAAAUCUCCACUAAUGUGUUAGCUGUUUGUGAUCGAAAAUUGCAAUUUGUGUAUGCUCUGUGUGGGUGGGAAGGAUCUGCCUCAGACUGUAGGAUACUGCGGGACUCAUUAACCAGGCCCCAUGGCCUCAAAGUGCCCAAGGGUAAAUAUUAUUUGUGUGAUAAUGGGUAUGCAAAUAGCGAUGGCUUCCUCACCCCUUUCAAAGGAGUUCGAUAUCACUUGAAAGAGUGGGGCCCUUUGGCUGGAAGACCUCAAAAUAAGGAGGAGCUAUUCAAUCUUCGACAUAGUAAGGCUCGUAAUGUAAUCGAGAGAGCUUUUGGGAUCAUGAAGAUGCGAUGGGGAAUUCUCAGAUCCACUACAUCCCAUAAAAAUACAAAAUAGAUUAAUUAUGGCAUGCUUUUUAUUGCAUAAUUUCAUUCGUAAGGAGAUGUCAAUUGACCAGUUGAACAACAAUUUGAUGAGCUGCAUGAGAUGAAUGGUGGUGUGGAAGCUGAACAUGAUGACUUCGUUGAUACAAUCGAGGCUUCCCCUGUUUGGAAUGCCAAGAGAGAAGCAUUAGCUGCAGAAAUGUGGCAACAAUAUUUAAAUUUUGUCUAGGAUGGCUUGUACGUCAGAGGGAUCAACGACCACCCCAAUCUGUAGCUGUCGGCGAUAUAUGAUGCGUCUAGCUUGUGCAGGUCCCACAUCUAUGAAUCCGGGACGCUAUUAUUAUAAAUGCACCAGCGGUGUACCUCAUAACAAAGAUUUUAUGUGGUGGGAUGAGUACCACGGAUCAAUGACCACGAGAGCGUCAUCUGCAGCCUUCAAUCCAACAUAAGCAAUUGUCAAUCGUCUACCACAACAGGACAGAAUCUCCACUAGUUUAGUCGCAGGUUCAGAGCUGGUUGACGGUCGCGGUGGAUUUCAUUCACCGCGUGGAUACCUGGAGUUCCACAAAGCAAUAUUGUUGAUGUUUCUUGGUGUGUUGGUCGUCGGUAUCUUGAUUGGUCUGUUUAUGUAGGUGGUGGUUAGUUGUGCCUCUGAUUGUAAUCAAAGAUUUUAUGUGGUACUAGUUACAACUUAUUUUGCUUUUGUGUUUUAAUGAGACAUCAGAACUCUAUGUUAGACUUGGUUAGUUGUGCCUCUGAUUGUAAAAUAUAUUCUCACAACUCUACUUUGUGUUGCUGCAUGUUUGUGGCUUAAUGCGCGUGUAGAUGCUAUGUUAUUUGACAUCUAUUAAAUUUAAGUUAGCAUGUAUUA